UGUUCCUCUAAAAUUGUUACUUGUGAAUUCCUAGCUAAACAUUGUGCAGCGCAAAAGCAAUCGUCUCAUGAGCUCUGCUUAUCUUGACAUAGCUUGAACAAUUCCAGAAGCUACCAUGAAAAAAGAAGAAAGCAAUAAAGGGAAGGUGGAAAACGCCAUUAUAGAUGGACUCAUGAAGUCCUUGCUGUAAAUUCCUGUGAAGAAAUAUCAGCCUAAGAGGACUUGUGAAAUCAUUUCUUUCAAUUGGCUUGGAACAAAAGAUCCUUACAAGAACUAAUGCAGUGAAUCCAUGUAGGUCUUCCUAUCAAAUUGCUGGACAAAAAUGCACCUUAUGUGGACUCAUGCAGCACUUUAUGUCAAAUGACUGCGAAAUGGCUGGGCAAGAAUGGAACCCCAGAUUAACUAUUGCAAUUUGUGCUGUUAAAUUGAUGGGCAAAAAAUGGAACCCUAGAUAAAGUACUGCAGUCCUUGCUAUCAAAUGGCUGGGCAAAAAUGGAACCCUAGAUAAACUACUGAAGUCCUUACUGUCAAAUGGCUGGGUUAAAAUGGAACCCUAGAUAAACUAUUGCAGUCAUUGCUGUUAAAUGGUUGAGUUAGAAUGGAACCCUAGAUAAACUAUUGCAGUCAUUGCUGUAAAAUGGUUGAGUUAGAAUUGAACCAAAGAUAAACUACUGCAGUCCUUGCUGUUAAAUGGCUGGGCAAGAAUGGAUCCCCAAAUAAAUUACUGCAGUUCUUGCUGUCAAAUGGCAGGGCAAGAAUGGAACCCUAUUGCUGUAAAAAGGCUGGGCAAUAAUGGAAACCUAGAUAAACUACUGCAGUCAUUGCUGUCAAAUAGGUGGGUAAGAAUGGAACCCUAGAUAAACUACUGCAGUCAUUGUUGUCAACUGGCAGGACAAGAAUGGAACACUAGAUAAACUACUGCAGUCAUUGCUGUUAAAUAGCUGGGUAAGAAUGGAACCAUAGAUAAACUACUGCAGCAAUUGCUGUCAAAUGGCUGGGUAAGAAUGGAACCCUAGAUAAACUACUGCAGUCAUUGCUGUCAAAUGGCAAGACAAGAAUGGAACCCUAGAUAAACUACUGCAGUCAUUGCUGUUAAAUAGCUGGGUAAGAAUGGAACCAUAGAUAAACUACUGCAGUAAUUGCUGUCAAAUGGCUGGGUAAGAAUGGAACCAUAGAUAAACUACUGCAGUCAUUGCUGUCAAAUGACAUGGUUAGAAUGGUACCCUAGAUAAACUAUUGCAGUCAUUGCUGGCAAAUGUCUUGGUUAGAAUGGAACCCUAGAUAAACUACUGCAGUCCUUGCUGUUAAAUGGCUGGGCAAGAAUGGAACCCUAGAUAAACUACUGCAGUAAUUGCUGUCAAAUGGCCAGGUAAAAAUGGUACCCUAGAUAAACUACUGCAGUUCUUGCUGUUAAUUGGCUGGGCAAGAAUGGAACCCCAGAUAAACUAUUGCAGUCAUUGCUGUCAAAUGGCUUGGUUAGAUGAUGGUACCCUAAAUAAACUACUGCAGUCCUUGCUGUCAAAUGGCUGGGCAAGAAUGGAACCCUAGAUGAACUACUGCAGUCCUUGCUGUUAAAUGGCUGGGCAAAAAUUUAACCCCAGAUAAAGUACUGCAGUCCUUGCUGUUAAAUGGCUGCGCAAGAAUGGAACUCAAGAUACACUACUGCAAUCUGUGCUGUCAAAUAGCUAGGCAAGAAUGGAAAUCUAUUUAGACUCUUGCAAACCUUUCUGUUAAUUAGUGGACAAGAAUGGAGCUCAAGAUCAAAGUGUGUUUAAAUCCUUCUGCAAAUAGCUGAACCAGGAGUUCCCAUUUUUUCUUUUUUUUCUAAGGCACAUUCAAUUUCUCAAUGGUGCAUGGGGGAUUUCAUUGAUGUGUUUCUGAUUGAUUGGGAAAAGCCAGGCUCUCAACAAAGUAAUUGAUUGAUCCAUGAUGUAAAGUGGUAUUAUGGCAGUUUGUCUUUGGUGCUUGUUACUUGCUUAUAAAAUUCUCUUAAAAACAACAGCACAUG